rnacentral:rRNA from 1 species
UACAGAGGUCCCAAGCGUUGUUCGGAUUCAUUGGGCGUAAAGGGUGCGUAGGCGGCGCGGUAAGUCGGGUGUGAAAUCUCGGGGCUUAACUCCGAAACUGCAUUCGAUACUGCCGUGCUUGAGGACUGGAGAGGAGACUGGAAUUUACGGUGUAGCGGUGAAAUGCGUAGAUAUCGGGAGGAAUACCAGUGGCGAAGGCGGCUUCUUGGCCUGUUCUUGACGCUGAGGCGCGAAAGCUGGGGGAGCAAACGGG